UCGGGAAUAUUGCGCAAUGGAGGAAACUCUGACGCAGUGACGCCGCGUGCAGGAAGAAGGUUUUCGGAUUGUAAACUGCUUUAGACAGGGAAGAAAAAAUGACAGUACCUGUAGAAUAAGCUCCGGCUAACUACGUGCCAGCAGCCGCGGUAAUACGUAGGGAGCAAGCGUUAUCCGGAUUUAUUGGGUGUAAAGGGUGCGUAGACGGGAAGACAAGUUAGUUGUGAAAUCCCUCGGCUUAACUGAGGAACUGCAACUAAACUAUCAUUCUUGAGUGCUGGAGAGGAAAGUGGAAUUCCUAGUGUAGCGGUGAAAUGCGUAGAUAUUAGGAGGAACACCAGUGGCGAAGGCGACUUUCUGGACAGUAACUGACGUUGAGGCACGAAAGUGUGGGGAGCAAACAGGAUUAGAUACCC
rnacentral:rRNA from 1 species